GCGGAUAUGGUGAAGUGGUUAACACACCGGUUUGUGGCACCGGCACACGUGGGUUCGAUCCCCACUAUCCGCC
rnacentral:tRNA from 1 species